ACAUAAGUGGGGCGUAGUGGUUUUGAGUGCUGGACUGUGAUUCAAGAGAACAGGGUUCGAUUCCUAGCUUGGCCA